CAGUGCGUUGCCUUUCUCUUCAUUCAGUACUCUCAUUCCUAAUCCUAUGUUUUCUCAUAGGUCCCAAGGACCAGCCGGACCUUUCCUUUGAACCCUAGGCACUGGCAUGCAUUUGCUUUCUCUUCGCCUCCCCUCAGGGGUCUCAAGGCAUCUUUAAGAAGGAGACUAAGUUUUCCCCUGGUGAUAAGAGGAAUUCAAAGGCUGCAUUAGGACCUCAUGAGAAAAACUGCCGUUGAAGAUGUGAGGAUAAAUGUCGUGCGUGAGAGCUUCAGGGUUGGUGUCCUGGGACGAAUCACCGGCCUUGGCCAUCUCUAGAAACUCUGCAUCCUGCCAUCAGUUCUCUCGGGAGGCAGCAGUAGUCUGAAAGUAUCUUUCACAGUGGAAGCUAAUGCGAAUUUUGGUGAUCUCCAGCUCCUAACUGGCUUCAAUCGUGAGGAAAUGUCGUUCAGAUUUGGCCAGCAUCUCAUCAAGCCCUCUGUGGUGUUUCUCAAAACAGAACUGUCCUUCGCUCUUGUGAACAGGAAACCUGUGGUACCAGGACGUAUCCUUUUCUUUUAAGAGAGGCAAAAUGAAGUCUUCGAAUGUAAUCAACCCAAAGAAUUGGAGGAUUGGCCCCUGAUGUUUGUCCUAAAAAGUAAAUAAGGAACCCAGCUCCCUCUUCCUUUGGACAGCCCAGGUAAGCUGUUACUCACAUUUAUUUUGAAUCCAGUUGGUGGCACCAGUAAUAUGCUUGAUCAGUGUUGCAGAACUUCUGAAAAGAGUUGCUUAGCAACCGUGGCUUUGGAGGUGAAUUUUUGCUUGACCUUUUCACUCCCAUAGCUGUGUAAAUAAAUAGGUGUUUCUAAAAUUGGCC
rnacentral:lncRNA from 1 species